rnacentral:ncRNA from 1 species
AUAAAGUUUUAUUUAUGUUUAGAAUUUUAGUAUAUUUUUUUUUUACAUGUAUUUUAAAAUUAUUUUGUUUUAAAAACUUACUUAGCAGUAUUUAGUAUUAUUAAUUUAUUAAAUUAAGAUUUAGAAAUUGAUUAGAAUUUUAAUUAAAUUUGUGCCAGCAAUUGCGGUUAUACAAAUAAUGUAAUUAAAAUUUUUUGGUUAGUAAUUAAUUAUUAAAGUUUAUUUAAUUUAUUAUUAAACUUAUUAGGUGAAAUUUUAAGUUUAAUAUAGGUUUUAUUAGAAUUUAUGAAGUUAUUAAAGUUUAAAUUUAAACUAGGAUUAGAUACCCUAUUAUUUUAAUUGUAAAUUUUAAAUGCCUGAUUAUUAGUAGAUUAUUUUCUUGAAAAUUAAAGAUUUUGGCGGUAUUUUAGUCUAUUCAGAGGAACCUGUCCUGUAAUUGAUAGUCCACGAUUUACUUUACUUUCUUUUUUAGUUUGUAUAUCAUCGUGUUUGAAUAUUUUAUUAGAAAUUUAAUAUUCAAAUUUUUUUAUUUAAAUUAAUGUCAGAUCAAGGUGCAGCUUAUAGGAAAGAAGAGAUGGGUUACAAUAGAUUUAUUUUUGGAUUACUUGUUUAAAUACAAAAUUGUAUUAAAUUGGAUUUGAAUGUAAUAUUUUUUAAUUAAUAAAUGUGAUUUUAGCUCUAAAAUAUGCACAUAUUGCCCGUCGCUCUCAUUUAAGGUGAGAUAAGUCGUAACAUAGUAGAUGUACUGGAAAGUGUAUCUAGAAAGAU